AAGGUUUCCUCCUGAGUCAGGCGGAGGAGAGGAAGCAGGCGGAGAAGCAGGAAAAUGAUCUGUCUGCAGAAAUGGUUCCUGAUUCCUCUGAGGCAAAGAGGACUUCGUUGGACACCAGGGAGAGGCCGUUGGGUGAAAGAAGGAUGCCGGCAAGACCUCCUCCUCCAUCUCUUCAUCCUGGUGGAGGGGAAGCAGCGGCUGAGGAACCGGAUC